UGGGGUGCCUAAUACAUGCAGUCGAGCGAACAGAUGAGAAGCUUGCUUCUCUGAUGUUAGCGGCGGACGGGUGAGUAACACGUGGGUAACCUACCUAUAAGACUGGGAUAACUCCGGGAAACCGGGGCUAAUACCGGAUAAUAUUUUGAACCGCAUGGUUCAAUAGUGAAAGACGGUUUCGGCUGUCACUUAUAGAUGGACCCGCGCCGUAUUAGCUAGUUGGUAAGGUAACGGCUUACCAAGGCGACGAUACGUAGCCGACCUGAGAGGGUGAUCGGCCACACUGGAACUGAGACACGGUCCAGACUCCUACGGGAGGCAGCAGUAGGGAAUCUUCCGCAAUGGGCGAAAGCCUGACGGAGCAACGCCGCGUGAGUGAUGAAGGUCUUCGGAUCGUAAAACUCUGUUGUUAGGGAAGAACAAAUUUGUUAGUAACUGAACAAGUCUUGACGGUACCUAACCAGAAAGCCACGGCUAACUACGUGCCAGCAGCCGCGGUAAUACGUAGGUGGCAAGCGUUAUCCGGAAUUAUUGGGCGUAAAGCGCGCGUAGGCGGUUUCUUAAGUCUGAUGUGAAAGCCCACGGCUCAACCGUGGAGGGUCAUUGGAAACUGGGAAACUUGAGUGCAGAAGAGGAGAGUGGAAUUCCAUGUGUAGCGGUGAAAUGCGCAGAGAUAUGGAGGAACACCAGUGGCGAAGGCGGCUUCUGGUUGACUGACGCUGAUGUGCGAAAGCGUGGGGAUCAAACAGGAUUAGAUACCCUGGUAGUCCGGUAAACAUGAUGCUAGUGUUAGGGGGGUUUCCGCCCGUUAGUGCUGCAGCUAACGCAUUAACACUCCCCCUGGGGAGUACACCGCAAGGUGAAAACUCNAAGGAAUUGACGGGGACCCCGCCACGUGGAGCGGGUUUAAUUAAGCACAGAACCCUUACCAAAUCUUGCCUGACUCUAAAGAUAAUUUCCUGGGGGACAAAUGACGGGUGUGUGCUC
rnacentral:rRNA from 2 species